AAAGAAAAUGCAUCAUGGCUCCUGGUGAGUUUACUGUGCAUCAGUCCAAAUCACAGGCUACUUUGAGUCUUUGUUUAACCCACAAAUGUACUUAUAUUUGUCUAUUGUGUGAGUGUGACAAAAAACAAAACAAGCUAAGCCUGAAGGAGCUACUCUCAAUUAAUUUGAGAUAAUGUGAUGAUGUGAUAAAUGCUAACCUGGGAAAAUCCUUUAAUCACACUGCUUAGGUAUUUAUUUAUGACUCUGCAGUCUGUUUAACACAAUGCUGUUCCUUAACAGGCCAACCGGUGGCAGCCAAGGACCUGAAAUUCAACCACAGGGAAGUGUAGUGCAGAGAGCUUGUCCAGCAUCUCACGAUCCACAGCCAGGAUGCGCUGCUCGAGGAUGCUGGUGUACGAGAGAGAGCUCUCUCUCUUCUCUCUCUCAAAGGCCUGCAGCUGCUGCUUCAGGGACUCUGGCAGGAACCUCUGGGGGACAGGGGUGAUGGUGUGACAGAUGGCGUCCAUGGACACGUGGUCUGAAGGCAACCAUGAGAAACCACUGACCCUUGACAAAACAGGGAGUGGAGGAGAGAUAGACAAAACCCACACUAACCCUAGUGUGUGCACACACACACACACACAAAAGCUCUUUGUGGUGAAUCCCAAGUCAAACUCCCUGACUGGCAGAGGGUUGGAGGAGGUUUUCACACAAUAGAACACAAUGCUGGAGUGGGGAGGGGAACUGCUGUAUUUAAACAUGGGGGGAGUGUGAAGUAACACAUGUUAUGUAUGCCUGUGCCUCAAUUCAAAUAAUUGUGUUCCUAUAGAAACCUGCAUCUCUAUGGAAAGAGAAAGAGAUGAUAUUGUCUUAUCACACUAAUUAAUGUUCCUAGAAUAUUUUUUAUAAUGUUAUGUAGUGUAUAAUUUAGUCAUGUUGAAAGGGGGCUCUUAUCCCACAUGAGUAACAGGAAUGCUCAUAUAAUCUCUCCACUAAACUACCUGUCUGUCUGUCUGUCUGUCUGUCUCUACCUGUGAUGCUGGAAGUGAUGCUGAGAACUCGUGCAGCAGCAGGUCUCUGGGUCUGACGAGUC